rnacentral:rRNA from 1 species
UACAGAGGUCUCAAGCGUUGUUCGGAUUCAUUGGGCGUAAAGGGUGCGUAGGCGGCGCGGUAAGUCGGGUGUGAAAUUUCGAGGCUUAACUUCGAAACUGCAUUCGAUACUGCCGUGCUAGAGGACUGGAGAGGAGACUGGAAUUUACGGUGUAGCGGUGAAAUGCGUAGAUAUCGUAAGGAAGACCAGUGGCGAAGGCGGCUCACUGGCCCGGUACUGACGCUGAGGCACGAAAGCGUGGGGAGCAAACAGG